GGAGGAGUACCCAAGCGGUUGAAGGGUCUUGCCUCGAAAGCUAGUAGGUCAGAUAUGAUGCAGGGGUUCGAAUCCCCUCUCCUGCGCCA
rnacentral:tRNA from 1 species